UACAAGCUUUCGCCUUAAGAUGAGCCCAUGGCCCAUCAGCUAGUUGGUAGGGUAAAGGCCUACCAAGGCUACGACGGGUCGCUGGUCUGAGAGGACGACCAGCCACACUGGCACUGAGAUACGGGCCAGACUCCUACGGGAGGCAGCAGUGAGGAAUAUUGCGCAAUGGGGGAAACCCUGACGCAGCAACGCCGCGUGUGGGAAGAAGGCCUUCGGGUCGUAAACCACUUUUGCACGGGACGAAAAAGGGAUAUCGAACAAAUAUCCCCGAUGACGGUACCGUGAGAAUAAGCCACGGCUAACUCUGUGCCAGCAGCCGCGGUAAGACAGAGGUGGCAAGCGUUGUUCGGAAUUACUGGGCGUAAAGAGUCUGUAGGUGGUUUGUCAAGUCUUUGGUGAAAGGCCGUAGCUUAACUAUGGGAAUGCCAAAGAGACUGGCAGGCUGGAGGCUGGGAGAGGGAAGCGGAAUUUCUGGUGUAGCGGUGAAAUGCGUAGAUAUCAGAAGGAAGG
rnacentral:rRNA from 1 species